rnacentral:rRNA from 1 species
UAAAGUCAAAUUAAUUAGUUAAAACUAAUAAAUAAUUACUAUUAAGUACAACUCUACUUUUUAUUUUAAGAGUAAAAUCUUUAUGAAUAAGAUAGGAAUGUGUUAAUGUAACGUCAAUUCUCUUACGAGGCGCUAAUAUAAAGACUAGGAUUAGAUACCCUAUUAUGGGCGUGAAUACAAGAGUUUAUUAAGUUAGUAGCCUUAAUUAAAGCAAAAUCUAUUUACUAUGGCGGCUGUUAGUCUCACCAGAGUCGUAUGUCCUUAAACGAAACCGCGCGAUUAUCUUACCUUUUAACUUUUGCUUAUGUGAAAUAAUUACACUUUAGCAAUCUGGCACGUCGCUGUACUAAAAGUGAAGAUUUUAAAUAACUCAUCUUCUAAUUGUUUAUUAGUAAUUAUUAAUAACGUACAAGUCAAGACGCCGUUUUAAAAGGUUAAAAUGUACGAUUUAAUUGGUUUGAUAGAAUUGAUAAGAAUGAAAACUUUCUUUAUCAAAAUAAUUUGGAAGUAAAAUAAGGUCAUAAUUCUUAUUUGAAAUGAGCUACUAAUAAGU